ensembl:lncRNA
AUAAAUUUAAAUGUGUGUAUUUUUUUAAUAUGUUAUACAUUACCUGUAUAACAAUACUUAUUUAAAGUCUGUUAAAAUAAAAAGUAACAGUUCUAUCGUCCACUUUAAAACCACUGCUUACUCUUUCGCGCCAAAAACCAAUAAAAACGCUCCGUUUGAAAUCGUCCCGCCUUUUAUUUCACAAGCUCUCACCUGAUUGGUUGGGUUGAGGCGUCACGGAACGUGGGAACAGCAGGAAAAAAUUGAACAGACGGAAGAAAUUCAGAAUGGUGCACCGCGUCCAUGCGGCUUAUUGACUUUGAUCUGUAUUUGGGCUCUACAAAACUGCUUCAAUUCAAGUUGUUUGAGAGACCCAGGGUGCGUGUUUUGGGAGAAAAUUCAUUCUGGGAUGCAGAGUACGGUUGUUGGCGUUUUGUAAAUGCACGAACUGUGAUUUGAUCUCACUGGUUGGAUUGGAUUGUUCAGUUCAGAGUCCCGGAAAUACAGUUCAGCCUUCAGAGGCUGUGUCUAAUACAUAAAGGAGGAUUGACCUAGUCAGUAACCCUGUUGAAGAGAGGAAGGGCGGUUGGAGAAGACUCUUCAUCAUGUCCAUGGAUUAUGUAAAUCCUCUAGUGCAGAAUAAGAGACAGCGGGAGGAAGAGCACAGCCAGUGGGACUGCCAGCCGAAAAGAGCAUGCACUGGACUGGGAAGAUGCAUCGAGGUCAGAUGUGAUGUUGUGAUGGACAGCCCAAUGGACUCAUGGGACACUCCACAAGUUGGCCAUCAAAACAGCGCCAAUGCAAAUCACCACGUCACCACUAUGGUUCUUGGCACAGCUCAGCAAUCCUGUCCGAGAUGCAUGGCAGGAGAACCGGGCCAUAUAAAUCAUAUCAUGCAGAGGUAUUGAUCACAAGGUCAGACAGGUCCUGGAGAGGAUGAAUAAGGAAGCAGACUGCACGGAUCGCUGGGAGUGGAGGAGCAGCCUGCACUUUGGCCAGUUCAUAUCACAGCCCAUCUUGUGCCUUAUUUAUAACCACAAGUACUUGACUUCUCAGUUCUAAUGUAGCCUGUGUGUGUGUUUUUAAAAUCAGCACUUAAAUGACUGCUGAUUUAAUGUAAGGGCUGGCCACAGGUAUUUACUAGUAAUUUCAGGUUAACACAUUCAAUAUGAGUGCUAAUUUAAGUACUACUACAGUGUAGUUUGCAGGGCAUUCAAUGAUUUUAAAGAAAUCUGUAUUUCAUUGAAUUCAUUUGUGUAUUUAGUAUAGACCAAAUGUGUUUCAAAUUAUUACUAUAUCUUGUUUAGUUUUUUUUCCAAAAGUAUUACACAAUGCAAUGAUGCAUUUUUAGGUGAUUUUGUAGAAAUAUUUCAAAGGGAAUGUUUUAUUAAAAACAGGAAUAGCCAUUGAAUUUUCUUGUUUUUAACCAGUUCCAUUAAUUUAGUUAUAAACUGUAUAAUAUUGUACUGUGUGUAUAUACAGUAGAGAUUGGUCCUUGUAAAAUCUGGCAAGUGGUUAAAUUUGCACUGAAACCCAUUGUUUGAUUAUAAAGGCUAUUUCCCCCCAUUUCUUUCAUUUUUUUGUUGUUGCAUUUUUAACAUUUAAAAACAGUAUUUACAUGCUGAUGUUAUUUUUUCCUGUUGCAAAUGCUGUUAUGUGAAUAAUUACUUGUGAACAUGAGGGAAAAAUCACAGAUAUAUUUUUUUUGUAACAAUUUAUAACAAUGUAAUUAUGUAACACUUUACAUAAAGUCUAAUUUGAGUAACAUGUUGUUUGCUGUUUAUACACGAUAUGUUGGUUUUGUUGUUAGAAUUCCAUGCAGAGCAAUACUUCGAGUACACUCGAAAAGGUUCCUCAAGGGUAGUUAGAACUUAUAAGGUUUUAUAUAGAACCAAUAAGAGUUCCUUAAGAGGAUAACUGAAGAACUUUUUUUUUUCCCCCUAAACAUGUGCUUUCCACAACGAACACCAGGUGGUGCCAUGACCCUCAGAACAUCCAACUACCGGCACAUUUAAUUAAUCGCCACAUUGCUCAGACCUGAAAUGCAUAAUCGCAAAUUAUUAUAACAAAAGAUUUCUGGCAUGUUCAACUGAAUUCAUCACAAGGAAACCUGCCUAGAGUUUGGUUGUGCUAUGAUUUGUUCUGAUAAAUUGAAUCUACAUCUCAUAAACUAUGAGUUAGUUUUCAAACAGGAAACAGAAAAUAUACAUUUGACUUUAUUGUGGCACUGAUGAAAGGCAAAGCUUUUUAUCCAUAUUCUCGGAGGAGAUGUGCUUCACAAUUUGACAUAAGCGUCUUUCAUCCAAUUUAGCCAGCUCGGUCUAGUGCUGGUCUACGUUUUAUGACUCCCUCAUAAAAUAGCCCUCCCAUUCCACAGACUUAUAAUGCUGCCUGUGUUGCAAUGAAUUCAUAAGUCAUAGUUUCUGCACUUGUAAGUUAUAAAGGAAUUAUUUCGGCUCACGAGAAGCCGCGGGGAUAGCUGGAAGUUUGUGGUAAGUCAACCAAGAUGGAUUUAAGUGUAUUACCAGCUCAAUCUUGUCCGUCCUCCUCCAGUGUUGCCUCUUGUUGCCUGAGAAAUGAGAGAGCGAGCGCACUCAGACAAAGCUUGACCUCCAGGGGCCGGCUCUCACAGCCUAGAUUUUCAAUAAUGUGGGACAAUAAGGCUUAGGCCUCUAACCUGCUGCAAUAUGCUACAAGUGUAAAGAGCUUAGCUACUAAUAAAGUAGCCGGCAAGUGUGAGGGUGGGAAGGGGGAGCUCAUCUUUGGAAAACUCAUAUUUGGAGAUCAAGUGUGAUGAGAUGUUGUGCAGGGGUUGGAGGCAGAGCUAGAGCUGGUCAAGCUUGGCAAUUGCCAUUUGACACGCUGGAUAUGAAUGAGGGGCUCUAUGUCAAUCCCCUCCAAGGCUUUAUGACAGGUGUACAUCUGUUUACUUUGAUGUCAGCUUUUUGGACUCAUAAAGACAUUUUUUCCCUCUGUUGCAUGCUCACAGUGACCUGUAUCUGCAGCUUCCAUAAGAGAGCCAGGUUGCUGGUGUGUUCCUCGGGGAGGUGCACGGCCAUUAUGGCUUUAUUGUGGAGAUCAGCAGGUCAUGCAGCAUGCUGUACACACACAAAGGGAACAUUUCCGCUCUCAUAUUUUUCCAGUCAUCAACACGGAGAUGAAGACACAACCAUAACGGGCAUUGUCCUACAACAUGCAGCCAGCCUACAUAUACAUUACAGGACUACUUCUCAGUUUGGGUUUCAAAAUUUACAGUGAGCAAACAACAAAUGUGUAGCUCUCAUAAAAGAGAGUGAAGGAAACACAACAGAAAAAAAAAAUCAGUUUUGCUUAAUGCUUUCGUCCUCCUAAAGUCAACCUGCUCUUUUCAUGUCUGUAUCCUUUGCCGGAUCACAUAUACUCUUACAGCAUUUCCACCCACUUUGUUUAUUAGUCUUUGAUCCACAAUAUUCCAGGCUGAGUUACACCCAUGCACUGCAAGGUGAACCUAUCACCAUUGUUCCCUAUAGGAACCCAAUACUCGUGGAGCCUUCCCUCUCUGUGCACAAAAAAACUCACCUCUUUUAGUAACAGAAUUCUCCAAAGAUGCUGAACAAAAGGUCACGCACAAAGACACAAUUUUAUGCUCCUUUAAUGAGUCAAAUUUGCUCUGCUUUUCAGACACCACCUCAGCGCUCACUUAAAGAUACAUAGCAGAUAACUGAUUGUGCCAGGAGCUUGUGUAAUCCAUAGAAAAGUGUGCAAUCAAUGGAUUUCAGAUAAAGACAUCGAUUGUCAUCUCUAACCCAGAGAGUAGCUGGAGUGAUUGAAACCUUCACUCUUAUUCUUUAAUUCUUUUUUAUAAUAAAAUGGAUAGCUAUUUUAAGAGACUAACGUCUUGCAGGAUUAAGGAUUACAUAUAGACAUCUGCACAUUAUGUCGGCUGAACAUCAGAUAUCGUGUACUUGAAGCUUCAAAAGCCUUUGACCUCAUUGCAAAGAUGCCACUGUUUAAAAAAAGUCAUUAUUAAAACAAAUUUCAAUCAGAAAUAUUUAAUAUGUGGGUGUCUUCCUAACAAAUAAAUGCACCUCAAUGUAAAUGGAUGAUUAAAAGGAUGGUCUAGAGAUCAUACUUUGCAGGGAUCAAUCGUUUAUUUAGGAAGAAAUAGAUUGUUAUGAGUUCCAUGCAUCACAAACUUUCUAUGGGUUUUUUCUUAAAAAAAACAACCCAAAAAACAAAACAAAAGCAGGAGCUACAGUAUAAAGGUGUGAAAUAUGUGAAAAGCAAAUUGCAUGAAUUGACUUAUUAAAAAAACAAAAACCUUUCUCAAGUCUGAUGGAAGAAAAAUCAAGACAACUUCUAAACCCUUCAAAAAGCAGUAAAACUUUUUAAAGAUGGGCACGUUGUUAGUUUUAUGCUGUUGAUGUUUCAUGACUUAUAGUAAAGGAAAUAACAGAAAUGUAUCUUUAGUGACUGGUAUGAUAGCUGUAAAAUAAUCAGUGUCUCCUUUGCAGGUCUAAAACAAAAUUUCUGAAAUCGGAAAAAAUGUCGCUUCAAUUUGACAUCGGCAUAAUGGCUAUUUUGAUCCAAUUAUCCCUGCAUAGUAAAAUCCUCAGUGUAGAAUGAACUCUUCCAGUUUUUAUUUAUGCCAGAUCUGACUUCUAGGUGUACAGUAGCCUAUCUUCAGGACUUUGGGUUUUACUCUUUACACUCUGUUUGCAUUUCUUCUCUCUUUAGUGCAAACAUGACAUAUCCUGCUGUCACAUUAUACAUCUAUUUAGAACUUAUUCAUUUAAAAUGAAACACACAUCAAAUCAUGUAAAAAGAAAAAUGCUAUUUAUUUUCUUACGGCUCAUUUCUCAGUACAACUGUUUCUCCUGUUUUUUGUUUUUUUUCUUUGCUAGAAAACAAUGACAGAACCGAUGCUCGUGUGUUUUUUUGGGUUAUUUACUUUGCUGGAUCACCUCUGUGGCUCUCAGUGAGCCUUGACAGUGCUCAGAGCUCUCCCGGCACUCAAAGCAAUUCCCCACAGACUUACGCAAUGUACAUGGAGCCAUGAAAGGGUGCAGAACGCUGCUGUCAGUCAGCAGUGGGCCUGCUCUAAUGGAUGAGCUGUUGAAAGUGUUAAGGCACACACACACACACACACACACACACACACACACACACACACACACACACGCAUACAGAUACAAAGGCCCAUCCUGAGCUGUCGAACACCAGGUUGUGUGUCAGAAGGUUUGAGAAAAGCCAAUGCAGGAGGACGGCCGUCACCGAACAAGGUCUUUCAUCUUCUUUCCCACUCCUGAUAAAGAGUUGUAAGCAUAUUAUGAAUUAAUAAUGCCGGUGGCAUUCUCAAAGCCGCACGUCAUGUUUGUAUCUGAGAAUCAUUCCAGUGCAAAUGUGUUUGGAGGUGUUUACCGAGGAGGAGGCACGCACCUUUGCUUUAAAGGUUAUAUCAAAUCCAAGUUAACAGAGGUGAAGCCACAGUGACUCCACUGGGAGGAAGAAAGAGCAAAGAGAAUAAACAGGAGCUCUUCUGAUGCACAGAAAACUUCACAGCUCAGACCUGCUGAUCCAUUUUCCCACAUUGUCAUAUUCAUUCAGCUCGGAAUUGAAUAGGAACUCACCAGUUGCAUCUACAGGUCAUGAGCAUAACUAUGGAGCUUGUUUCAACUGUUUAAAUACAUUUAUAUGUGUAUAUACAAUGUGUGUGUGUGUGUCUGUGUGUAUAUAUUUAUAUAUAUAUAUAUAUAUAUAUAUUUCAUAUUUCUACACAACUAUAUUUUUCUUCACAACUCACAACACAAUGCUGAUUUUUAUUACAUGACCUAAUACAAUAUUUCAGUAGUCACUGAAAAAUAUUCACAAUGCAUAUCAGUUUCAGAGCUGAUUCAGCUCGAUUGGCUCAGUGAAUGAAUUCAAUCAACAAAAUGCAGUAGCUGUUGUUUUAAAUAUUUCUAAACCACAAGAUGUUAAUAAGCCACUAACAAGAGAUGGACAGAAAUAAUAACAUUGUUUUGUCAUCAGACAAAUGUGCAGAUUUGUACAUUUUUGUGGGUGUUUUGUUGUUAUUCUCACUUUACUGCAAGUCUAAAUGAAUUAAAUCACUGAGUCAUUAUUUGAGUUUAAAAAAUAAUAAUAAUAAUUUACAAUUUUUUUGUGGAUAGUUUGUUAUUCCUAGCACCAGUUUACAAACAUGUGACUUAAGUAAGCCAGUAAAUCACUGAGUCCUGAACUGAGGAUUUAUGCCACUCUGUCAUGAUGAAACACAGUAAAGCUGCAAUCAUAUAUGACUGAAUUGUUCAGAGCACUAAUUAGCCUUCUUGUGUUUCUUUUUCUUUUACAUGUGUACCCACGCACACAUUCAUUAGAUUUCCUUGCUGUUCUGUUGUUUACAUGUUUGUGGUCUCCUCUUAACACUAACUGGAAAAUAAAUCCCAUAAACGCCCGUGCAGCAAGGUUUUCAGCACCGCAUUCCCUCUCAAUGAACAAAAUUACACUAAACAACAAACACACUCUUGGCUCGGUCCCUGUGAUCAAAGCGUUGGCUGCCUAAUCUAGCCAAUUAAUCUAUUUAUCAGCAGUGCACUAAUGAAUAUGCAGUCCAUAUGUUUUUUUUUUCCAACACACUGCCUCCCUCCAAGUCUGAAAGUGGGACAACACUCCAUGCGGGUGAUGUGUUCGGCAGCACAGUCAUGCCAUAGUUCAUCACUGAGCUGGUGGAAUCAGAGUAAAUGGAGAUUAGUGCGAAUGAGUGCCUAAAAUCUCUCAAUCACAUGCGCUCACAAGCCGGCGUGCACUCACACAAACAUGUGAACGCACACAUUCACACACGCCUGAGAUGCAAAAUUGAGGGUAAAGGCUUUGGAACGCAGAUGUUGAAUUUCACUGUUUAAUUUAAACAUUCUGCCAGGUUUUUUAUGCUCCUUCUUCACUGCUUUGCCACCUUGGAGGUCCCUAGCCACUCGCUGCACCGCUGUGCAAAGCUGCCAGUGAUUAUUUUUAGCUUUUGCUUGGUUUUUUUUUUUUUUUUUUUUUUCUUUUCACAGCAAACACUCAUCCUCUUUCUCUGUGUUAAUAAUGUAGGAUUCACACAUCAGAAUUAGUUUUGUAUUGUUCAAAUACUCUAGUGGAGGUUGAGCCACCUCAGACUGCUAGUUUCAUAGCGAGAUGAACACUGCUCAUGGAGUCUUCCAGGAAUGAAUCACACACUCAUAUCGGAAUAUCACGUUCUGUAAGAUAAAUAUCACACAAUGCUUUUAGAUACAAGGUGUGAGUGUAAAAUAAAAUUCACGACAAUAUAAAAGUCAGGUUUCUAAUCCACAGAAUCACUGUGGAUUGUAGAGAAUUCAUGGCUCGUAUUGCAUGAUAAGGUCAAUACAAAUGUACAAUAGAUGAAUUUGUAGAUUGAUCAUUAAAAUAAAUAAAUAACUGGCUCAAGUGGUUUGACCAUGCACGUUGCACAUUAUUGAAUGUAGCAUUGGGUCUUUGCUGUUGUCCUGCUGAAGUCUUUAUUGGGGAGACGGCAGCUCUUCCAUCUUCUAAGAGCACACGUAUGGCGUAAGAGGAACUCUCACCUUUAUGAGACUACCUCCACUUUACUACCGCUAAGGGACUUGCCAAGCGAGCAGGCACUUUCCAGCCUGCUUCCACACAUAACCAGCCAUUUCAGCUUCCAAUACACUUCUGUAAACCCUGCUGUAAUUCAUUUGUGGAAUUGAAAAAAAAAAAAAUAAAAAAAAUAAAAUAAAAAUUACCCUUUCAGGUGGGGAAUGAUGUAAAUUAGAGCAAUGGUGCACAAGCAAAUGAGGCAUGAUAUGCAAUUAAUGUCUUAAAUAAUAUCCAUAAAUAAUUGCUGUGCAUUGUAAUUACCAAAAGGUUGCAUAUAUAUUGAGGGUUUUUUUAAAUUAUUAUUAUUUAAAAUAAUUAUGCAUUGACCAACAGUACACAUACAAGCUGACCUGAUAGAAUGGUCAUGUAAUAACACAGGUCUCUAAGUGAUUUCGCCAGCUCGCCCUCGUGUCAGAACCAGUGGGAUAUGAACUAGAAUGUGAUAUUGCAAUAGGGGAAUGGGUGAACCUUCACCCCUACAUACACACACGCAGGCCACUAGAGCAGAUGGACAAUUACAUUUAAAUGCAGCAGAACAGUCACUAUUAAUCCUGCUACUCACAUUUACAAUUCCUCUCUCUAUAGUUUUCAUUUCUGACCUUUUCAGCAUCAGUCUGGAGUGUUUUCUGAAGAGGAAAAUCUUAUGGUGAGCUUAUAUAACACAUUUGCCACACUAAAACUUAUAAAAUAAAUAAAUAAAUAAAUAAAUAAAUAAAUAAAUAAAUAAAUAAAUUAUAAUAACCCAGUUUUUCAAAUUCACUUCUCAAAAUGAGAAUAAGAAUAAUAAUCAAAUCAGACUGUGUGUCAAAUAUAAUAAAAGCAAAUAACAAUAAUAUUAAUCGUUAAAAAAGAAAGAAAGAAAAAAACAAAGCAAUAAAGGUGUACAUAUAAAUCAGUACUAUGCGCAUAACUAUGAAAACAAAAUAAAAUGUUCCAAAUAUUAUUAUCGUCUGCAAAAUGUCUGUGUGCUCACAAACCAUAUUAAUGUCGUACUGCAUAUUAAAGUGAAACUGCUAUUCUGAGUAUAGAAUAAUGAAUAUUGAUUUUUUUCAUGAGGUCAUUUAAUUAAAUAAGAAAUGAAAGCAACACAAAAUAUACAAAAAUAAAAAAAAAUUCCAUUCACUAGCACUGAUAAAGGACACUUGUGGGUGUAUCCAGGGUAUAUCAUACCACACAAAUAAAGAGGAACGCCAUAGUAUAUUAGCUUUAUAUAGUAAAUCAGCAUGACAAAAGAGUGAUGAUUGUAUUUGCUAAUGGUAGCUAGAAUGCCUUACUGGAUCUUAUGUUUUAUGUAGAUAUAUUAUUACUGACAUAAAUUCUUUGGCUUUGCUUGCCAAGUUAGAUAAAGAACAUUAGGUAACACAUGUCUAUUGCUAUCAUCUGUGUUGGCUGAGCUUCAACACGUCCAACUAUAGCCAAAUAUCAGCAAGCUAUGAAUGCGAUAAAGUCUACAUAAUCCACCGACCCUCACACAUGACUGAAAGCAGCUGCUCUGGGUCUGAUGGAGGGAAAAAAAAUACACUCUCAGGAAAAAUGUGCACUAAGCUGUACCUUUUGCAUUUUUAGUGUGUAUCUUUUACACAGGGAGGUGUUUGUAUUAUUCCUUUAAAACUUUUCUUUAAUUCAAACAAGGCCCAUUAAGCACCUUAAAUCAUUUUAACGGCACAUUAUUUUCAUGUUUCAUGUUUUCAUUUGUACAUGUAUACAGAUGUUUUGUGAAUAUUUUGUGAAUAUUUUGCGAACCUACACAAUAAUAUUAAUUAUAGGAGUUAUAUUUGAAAUGAACCUAUUUGUUAAUAGUUUUAGGAAUAUGUAAAUGAUGCUAAGUCUUUUGAUAAGAUCCCUUCUAAUUUAUUGUUUCACUCUAAUCAUUACUGAUAAUGAGGAUUAUUUCACACUUCAGCACUACGUCCUGUCAUUAUUCAAUACAAAACAUGCCAUUUUUUGUUCCUCUGAAUGAAUUGUAAUAGGGUUAGAAAACUUUUUUAGUUGCAUAUUUAGUCAUGGAAUCUAUUUUUUAAUAUACCAUACGAAAUGUAUGUGCAGAAUCAAAACUAGCUUCACAAUUAUAUAUAUAUAUAUAUAUAUAUAUAUAAAGCUACUAAAUGAAUAUCUGAAAAAAAAAAGGCUGCAGGAUUUGCAGCAGAAUUUCAAUGUUGACAUUAUAUUUUACUGCCAAUGCUUUUUAUCCUACAUUUGUGAGAAUUUAUGAGUGAUACUGAAUAUUCAAACUUCUUUUAAAAAAUCAUUAAAGGGAUUGAUUUAGCAAAAAUUGCAUAGAUUUUGUCAUUAUGAACCUCCUUCUUCACACCCACUCUUGUUUUAUGCUCAAAGACAUAACUGGUGUUAUGUAAUACUGGUAAAUCAGCAUCCCUGAGCUAAACUAAUUAUAAUUUGUCGGGAUUGCAGUAAAGCAUUAAAGGCAAAUAGAUGGGAUUAGCUUGUAAGCAUGUAGGUGUGUGUUUGAUAAUCAAGGAUCUUCACCACUACCACCAUCAUCAUCAUCAUCAUUAUCAUCAUCAUCAUCAAAUCCAUACAAUCAUUUACUUUUCCCCCAUUUUUAAACUGUCCAUAUAUGUAUGUGUGUGUGUGUGUGUGUGUGUGUGUGUGUAUAUAUAUAUAUAUAUA